rnacentral:rRNA from 1 species
AUGGUUGACUCCGGCGUGGCGAUAGCUCUCGGCGUGGUCGGGUUCCUCGUGGUGGUGCUCGCGAUCGCCUGGGCAGUGCGCUGCGCCGUCGCCCGGCGCCACGCCGAGGAGGCGAAGGAGGCCGUCGGCGUCGGCGCGGGGCUGCUGGACAAGGAGGCCGUCGUCGUCGACGUCGAGACCAAGCGCGAGGAGCCGCUCUGCGCGAUAUGCAAGGGGCCGCUGGCGGUGGGCGGGGGCAGGUGCCGGCGGCUGCGCGCGUGCGGCCACGUCUACCACGCCGAGUGCGUCGACCUGUGGCUCCAGCGGAAGCCGAUCUGCCCGCUGUGCCGGGCCAGCGUCGUGCUGUCGCGGACGGACAUCGUCGACGCGAUCGUGUGA